CAAGUACUCCCUUCGUCCAGAAUUACUUGUCAUCAAAAUGGAUGGGUCUAGAACUAAAAUACAUCUAGAUACAUCCAUUUCAAUGACAAGUAUUUCUGACGGAGGGAGUACAAG
rfam:Triticum aestivum genome assembly, contig: Triticum_aestivum_CS42_TGACv1_scaffold_321486_4BL